rnacentral:rRNA from 1 species
UACGUAGGGGCCAAGCGUUGUCCGGAAUUAUUGGGCGUAAAGAGCUCGUAGGCGGUCUGUCGCGUCUGCUGUGAAAACUCAGGGCUUAACCCUGAGCUUGCAGUGGGUACGGGCAGACUAGAGUGCGGUAGGGGAGACUGGAAUUCCUGGUGUAGCGGUGAAAUGCGCAGAUAUCAGGAGGAACACCGAUGGCGAAGGCAGGUCUCCUGGGCCACUACUGA